GUUGAUCCUGCCAGAGGCGACCGCUUUUGGAGUUCGAUUAAGCCAUGCGAGUAGAAUGAAAUUAGAUUCAUUGCAAACUGCUCAGUAACACGUGGAUAACCUGCCCUAUGCUCUGGGAUAACCUCGGGAAACUGAGAAUAAUACCGGAUAGAUCACAACGCCUGGAACGGUGUGUGGUUGAAAGGUUACGGCAUAGGAUGGGUCUGCGGCGUAUCAGGUCGUAGGGGGUGUAAUGGACCCCCUAGCCAUCGACGCGUACGGGUGUUGGGAGACAUAGCCCGGAGACGGAUUCUGAGACACGAAUCCGGACCCUACGGGGUGCAGCAGGCGCGAAAACUUCACACUGCAGGAAACUGUGAUGAGGGAACUCCAAGUGGAUGCACAUAGUGUAUCUCUUUUCUUUACUAUUAAUCGGUAUUGGAAUAAGGGCUGGGAAAGACCGGUGCCAGCCGCCGCGGUAAUACCGGCAGCUCGAGUGGUCGUCGCUUUUAUUGGGCCUAAAACGUCCGUAGCCGGUUUGGUAAAUCUGUGGGUAAAUCAACUAGCUUAACUAGUUGAAUUCUGCAGAGACUGCCAGACUAGGAACCCGGGAGAGGUGUGGGGUACUCAAGGGGUAGGGGUAAAAUCCUGUCAUCCUUUGAGGACCACCAGUUGCGAAGGCGCCACACUGGAACGGAUUCGACGGUCAGGGACGAAGCCUAGGGGCACGAACCGGAUUAGAUACCCGGGUAGUCCUAGGUGUAAACGCUGUGGACUUGAUGUUGGGGGGUGCUCCGAGCACUCUCAGUGUCGAAGCGAAGGUGAUAAGUCCACUGCCUGGGAAGUACGGUCGCAAGGCUGAAACUUAAAGGAAUUGGCGGGGGAGCACCGCAACCUGAGGAUUGUGCGGUUUAAUUGGAUUCAACGCCGGAAAACUCACCAUAGCCGACGGACAAAUGAAGGUCAGUGUAAUGAACUUACCGGAUUGUUCGAGAGGUAGUGCAUGGCCGUCGCCAGCUCGUGCCGUGAGAUGUCCUGUUAAGUCAGGUAACGAGCGAGAUCCCUGCCUCUAGUUGCCACCAUUACUCUCAGGAGUAGUGGGGCGAAUUAGCGGGACCGCCGCAGUUAAUGCGGAGGAAGGAAGGGGCCACGGCAGGUCAGUAUGCCCCGAAACUCUGGGGCCACACGCGGGCUGCAAUGGUAGCGACAAUUGGUUUCGAAUCCGAAAGGAUGAGGUAAUCCACAAACGCUACCGCAGUUAUGACUGAGGGCUGCAACUCGCCCUCACGAAUAUGGAAUCCCUAGUAACUGCGUGUCAUUAUCGCGCGGUGAAUACGUCCCUGCUCCUUGCACACACCGC
rnacentral:rRNA from 1 species